GACGGAGACAGAAAUCUAGAGAAGCAGAGAGCAGAGUGACGGAGACAGAAAUCUAGAGAAGCAGAGAGCAGAGUGACGGAGACAGAAAUCUAGAGAAGCAGAGAGCAGAGUGACGGAGACAGAAAUCUAGAGAAGCAGAGAGCAGAGUGACGGAGACAGAAAUCUAGAGAAGCAGAGAGCAGAGUGACGGAGAGACAGAGAGACUGACCUGUUUGCAGAGACUGUGAAUCAGACAAGGAUUUCAGACCAAAAGCAGAAAAGGCCACAGAGACCCAGCACACAGGGCCGGACAAUGAUGGUGUCAGAGAGAAAGACCAAGUGAAACAACGAGGAAAAGGAGGAGCAGACACUGCAGGAUAGAAAGAUGGAAACAGCUCGAGAGGGCUGCAGUAGAGAGGCAGAGAGGUGGGAAUGGCUUCCGUCAGCCUGUCCCUGCCCAGCUCAGGGGCAGCUGGCUCUGGACCCUCUCCAGAGGCUGGUGUCACCUGGGCUCCUGGUGGCCCCCAGGCCUCAGCACCCCUGGGGCAUCCACACACCGAGGGAGGGGGGGAUGAUGGGCCAGUUCCCAUCCUUCUUCCCUGUCACGGCCCAGAUGUCUGGCUGAGUUGAGUGGGCAGCCCAGGACCUGGUCCCCAUGGACAGGCUGGGCCCUGGGCCGCAUCUUCUGGGUCAGUCCCCACCAACAAGCAGAGCAAAUUGCAGGAAAGUCACGAGGACUUCUAGGGGUCCAGCCCAUUUCCAGAAGAAGAAGUAAAGAAGCCAGUUUCUCAGAGGCAAUGAGGAAAAAUGCUGGUCUCUCUGGGUCCCCAUGGGGGCAUCACAAAGGGACCAGCUGGCCCAGUUGGUCUGGGCUCUGGUUGGAACUACGGUGGGGUCCUGACACCCUCAGAGAGUCAUACACUCAGCCUCUCAGCUGCAGACCGAGCCGGCCUUACCCUGGAGCUGGGAUCACAUAACUGCUCAGCCGCCCUCUGCCUGCUGGUGCCCAAGAGUGCCAGGCACAGGAGCUGGCCUGGGAGAUGGCCCCAGGGGCUGCACUGGUAUCUGCCGGCACUGGGAAGAGAGCUCUGUUUUCUGAGUAGCAGGUGGCCGACUGUGCCGGGGAGCCUGUUCUCCCACAUUUUCCCCAGUUCCGGACGGGGGACCACAAAUCCAGGACACGUCUGCUCCUGGUGCGGCCGGCCUGCCUGCCUUUCGUGGGGAGUUACAAGGGAAGUGAGGAUAUUUCUGUGAUCUCGAUCCCAGUUUUAAGGCAUAAUUUGAGUGGUCACAAAGAUGGGGUGACAGGGAAUAGCCACAAGAACUCUCCUCCCACCCCGACAACCCCCGGCCUCUCUUCGAAGCUGCACCCUAGCUUCCAGGGCAAGGCUGAAUCAGGAGCCCCAGCCCUCUUUCCGUGCAAGACUGACUGGCUGAGCUGGGCGUCCGUGGGACCCUACGUAGCGAACAUGACACCCAGGGAGGAGCCUGCAGUUCGCCAUGGGCUGGAGAAGCAGCGGAGGCAGAGGCACCUGGGAACUGCCACCUGGAUCCAAACGCAUGGCCGGCCCAUGCCCUCGCAUUAUGAAGGCCAAUGCUGGGAGCAUCGUCUUUGGUGAUCACCUGCCCUGAAGCGAUUCACAAGGGUUCCACACUCACUGGCCUUAUCUGCACCUCCACCCCAAGACCAGAGGUGCCCAAGCUUCUCUCUCCACUUCUGCUGGUGUACAGAAUAUAAAUUUUCAGGAGUCUGCCAAGCUCCAGAGAAAUGAAUCUCCCCUAGUCGUCACUUUUCUCAUACACAAAUGGAGCCUCUGGACUUUGCAGUCUUGAAGAUGAGGAAACAGAGGCCAAGGGAGGGGGCUGUCUGAAGUUAUGCAGUGGAACCUGGAACCCAGGCCUGGGGCUGCCUGGCGCUGCUGUUGACGUCACAGGCCCAGGAGCAUGGACGGGGUCCCCCGCCCUGCUGUGCAGAAGCACGGCACCAGGCUCUCCGAGGGGCCUUCAUGAUGUAGACAAGGACGACAUGCUGAGCUCAAGGUGAUCCCGGGACAGGUCCAGCAGAGUGACCCUGACCUCUCUCUCCACCUGAUGGCGUGUGUCCUCUGCAGGACAUUGACCCUGCCAGGGCCAGGCUGGCCUAUCUUCAGGGAGGGAUGGGACAGGCGCUCAGACUGGAAGGAAAGCCCCUGUCCUUCCUUUUCUUCUCCUCUGGACAACCCUCUCUCUGUGUCUUAUCCUUGUAUUAUAUAACACGACACGGUGGCUCCAGCCCAGGACAGAAGGGAGGGGUUUGUCUUCCAAGAGGCGGCCACCUCAUCCCUGGACUUGUGUCUGAGGGCAGGAGUUUGCCCUGGGUUCUGGAACCAGGUGCUGGGUGCUUGAUCAGCAGCCCUGGAGUGACUUCUUGGCAGGUGGUCAGUUUGGGACAGGAAGGACAGACCCUCAGAGCAGGGACGGGCCUGUCUCACAUCCUCCUCGGAUGGCCAAGGUGCUGGUUAUCUUUCCAGGACUGCUGAGAGGACCGGUGGGUCGCUGGGACCAGGCCGUGUACCUCCCCAGUCUCUGAGUCUAAGGAAAACCUCAGAGCUGGGGCGAGAAGGCGUUCUGGAGGCUGGGCCCCCAGUUGCAGAGCUUGGGGUCGGCUUGCCCUGGGAGGAGCAUGGGCAAGGGCAGAGGCCGGGGCAUCAGGAGAUUGUGGUUCCAGGCCUGGCAUUGCCCACUCCACCACUGAGAAGGACAGCCACUUCCCCACUAGGCCUCAAUUUUCUAGCUGCAGACAAAAGAGGUUGGCCCAGCUAUCCUGUAAGGCCUCGUUCAUCUUAAAGUCUCUGCAGUACAUUAACCCCAUCUGGGACUCUA